rnacentral:lncRNA from 1 species
CACCGUUCAAUAUCCCCUGCUUCCGCGUAUUCUGCUGGCCUCGUGCUCCAGUCGCAGUUGAUGGCAAUAUUGCAUCUGAUUGGUCCAGUGAAGCUGAUUGGUCCCACUUCGACGUUUUACAAGUAUGUUGGGAGAUUUCGAUGUUUACCAACUACAUAAUCAUCAACAAGGUACGGUAAAACAGAACUUACUAGACUGACUGAUGUACAUUCAUCCCUCACUGUAGAGGUUAUAUGAAAUCGCGUCAUCUGAAUUAUGGCGUCCAGCCCGACUGAUCCAAUAUAUACACUAGAUAUCGCAUGGGGACCCUGAACAUGCGUCAAUAGCGCCGCCACAUUUGUACAGUGCUCCCAGGACAUGUCAUUCAACCGCACCAGUCACGACAGUGUGCCAGUGUGAAGAUGCUGGACUUUAGCGCUAUGUACGGGGGUAGUAACGAGAAAACGAAGCACAAAGGCAGAACAUUUCAUAGCUAGAGGCUAGAUCCGUGUAAGGGACGGAGCCAGAGGAAUGAUGGAGAGAGAGAAUGAGAUGAUAUGGACACAGGCGAGCGUGCGUGCACCGUGCCUCUCCUCUUCUCACCGUCUUUGGGAGCAGGGGAGGAGGAGGUGAUGGAAGGAGAGCGGAGGUACGAGGAUGGGAUAGCAGCGGAGGUGUGCACGAAGAGAGAAGGAGCAGCGGCACAGGAGAGAGGAGAGAAGGAAGGAAGGAGUCGGUGCAGCGUCGGUUCCCAGAGGAGCUUGUCAGAUAUCCCAGUCGCACACUUUGUUCCCGUCUGGCAGAUGCACAAAGCAGCAAUGUAGACAGUCGUCGGAUCUGGAUCUCUGCACGCACAGCUGAUGGGACUCAAACCCUCCACAGGAAGAACCAGACGUGAGCUGAGAUGUUGUGAAGCACACAGGAAACGGCACAAACUCCAGGCAGACUGCAGUAUCCGUAAAAAGUCCAGGUGUAACAAUGCUGUUGUUCCUCUGUGAUGUUCUUUUCUUUAUUACCCGCCUCCCUCGUCUGCUUGCUUUGUUGCGCGCGCGAGAGUGUGUGUGCGAGAGUGAGUGUGAGUGUGUGUGCUUGUGUGAGAGUGUGUGAGUGAGUGUGUGUGUGUGCGCGCUGCCGGCUGCUCCACACUGUGGGGAAGAUUGAAAGGAUCAGCUCGGGCACCGCCGCGUUCCUCCUCCUCCACAGCAUGGUGGGCGGGACUAAGGGCUGGCUGCUCCACUCCCAGACAGGGGAGUGUCUUAAGGAGCCUAUCUCUGUUUGUCCUCAUGGGAAAGCUGCCGCCCACUGCAUGGCUUCACUAGUGCAGAAGGGAACGACUUACUCUUACUCCCACACUCUGGGGGGAGGAGACUGAGGAAGACACAGCAAGGAGCCGAGGCCCCCUACUGGUCAAUCACAGACUCUACCUCAUCUGAUCUCCUUUUUACCAUGUUUGCUUCUAUUUUUUUUGUCCAAGUGUAUUUUUAACUUCAGUUUCUGCAAUAUAUAAAACAUGAAUGACCA